GAUGAACGCUGGCGGCGUGCUUAACACAUGCAAGUCGAACGAUGAAGCCCAGCUUGCUGGGUGGAUUAGUGGCGAACGGGUGAGUAACACGUGAGUAACCUGCCCUUAACUCUGGGAUAAGCCUGGGAAACUGGGUCUAAUACCGGAUAGGAGCGUCCACCGCAUGGUGGGUGUUGGAAAGAUUUAUCGGUUUUGGAUGGAUUCGCGGCCUAUCAGCUUGUUGGUGAGGUAAUGGCUCACCAAGGCGACGACGGGUAGCCGGCCUGAGAGGGUGACCGGCCACACUGGGACUGAGACACGGCCCAGACUCCUACGGGAGGCAGCAGUGGGGAAUAUUGCACAAUGGGCGCAAGCCUGAUGCAGCGACGCCGCGUGGGGGAUGACGGCCUUCGGGUUGUAAACCUCUUUCAGUAGGGAAGAAGCGAAAGUGACGGUACCUGCAGAAGAAGCACCGGCUAACUACGUG
rnacentral:rRNA from 1 species